GACGUAGGGGGCCAGCGUUGUUCGGAAUUACUGGGCGUAAAGGGCGCGUAGGCGGCCCGCUAAGUCGAACGUGAAAUCCCCAGGCUCAACCUGGGAACUGCGUCCGAUACUGGCAGGCUUGAAUCCGGGAGAGGGAUGUGGAAUUCCAGGUGUAGCGGUGAAAUGCGUAGAUAUCUGGAGGAACACCGGUGGCGAAGGCGGCAUCCUGGACCGGUAUUGACGCUGAGGCGCGAAAGCGUGGGGAGCGAACAGG
rnacentral:rRNA from 1 species